AAGAUAAGAAAAUGGCUGAGACGGACCAAGGAAGAUAUGUUCUGGGUGAUGCUGCAGCAGUCAGAGGUAGAAAACACCGAACACAAGAAGUUGAUGGAAAGCGACAAGAAGGAAAGAGAAGAGAAGGAUUUUUACAACAGGGAUGCCACAGAGCGGCUGAUUAAAGUUCUGGAGUGUCAAACCAACAUGCUCCAGACUCUCGUAACACCUUCUCACCCACCAACAACUUUUCCUGCAAGUUCUUGGUUUCUGUGAAGAUGGCUACAGCAUCAAGUCUUUUUACAGAGCUUUGGUGUUAUCUUCUGGCUAUCCUCUGUGUACCUUUAUAGGUACUUCAUAUGUACCUUCAAGACAAUAGUGACUCCCAGGAGCAGGGGAUAGAUAUCCUGACAUCUAGUUAUGCCUUCAAGGAAAUUAGCUGGCCUUAUUGAUGAAAACUGUCUUUCAAUGAUGCAGAAAUCCCUACAGAGAUCACACAAAGGAAGAUGUGACAAAUGUAACAGGAAUCUAUAUUCCCUAAUUGCUAAUAUGUCUCCUUCUGGGUAGCAUUGCAUUUCAUCCUUAUCUUUAUUUCCCCUGCACCCCGCAUGUCCAGUUUAGUUUCCCUAAAAAUCUCCUGUUCAUUUGCAAAACCAGGACAAUGUGCAUCAUCUAUUUAUGCUGUAUGUAAAGAAGUUGAAGUGAAGGGUAUUGUAUGACUCUAACUUCCUUUAUCUAUAGAGGAUUUUCAGUAGGUGGGGAUGAGGGAGAAAAAGAGCACUAAUAAAACAAGAUUGCUUUGUUAUUUAGUUCCAGAGAGGGUAACAUUGGUGGGCCUAUGACCUAUUUUGGCUUGAAAGAUUUGUAAAAAUAUUGUAUUCACAUUUCUUCUCUUUUCAGUACCUGUGUUUUCUUCUAAGCAGUUGGUCAUACUGUUGCAGGAUUUUAUGGACUCUUGUAAAUACCUCUUUCAGGAAUUUCAAAAGAGAUUCUUGGGCUUUCCUAACCAUGGCCAUCGAAGACUCUAACUAACUCAUCAUAUCAUAUAACCCCUCAUACCAUAUAACCACUCUGUCUGGGAUUUCCUCUGUGAUUACGCCUUAGCUGCUUGCAGGAAAGAAAUUCUCUUUGAUCUGCAGCUGUAGGAUUACUGAAGCUUUACCUUGACUGAUUUUUUUUUUUUAACAUCGGUCAUCCACACUAAAAAAAAAUCCUAUUGUGUUUCUAUAGGUUUUCAGAUUAAAAACUGGCCUGUGGAUGAGCAAGCUGGAGGGAUUGUUGUUUAUACAAUAAAAUAAUCUUUGGAAUAGAACCCCAUGUAGCGAGCAUACACAGGAGAAUGUACCUUGCUAAAUAUAGCAGGUAACAAGUGGAAAUUCAAAGAAGCAUCCAAUUAAGCAAAUUUACAAACCUUUGCAAUGUGUUUGUCUGCAAUAUCUGCUUUGUUCAUGAUUUUAAUUAGAGGACUUAACUUGCUUCUCACCACUAAAACGAAUCCACCCCGUCUAAAUGUGGCAGUCUUAAAUAAAAGACUUUCUUGUAAAUCUGGCACCCUCCUACUCCCCUUCAGCUGGGAGACAUUUACUGCAUGUUUUCCACUUCCAGCGUAUAAUUAGUGAAAUGUGGAGGAUGCUCAUGUUGUUCAGGACCAAGAUUCGUUUCGAAAACUGUUAAACACAAACCUGUUUGCCUAGGAUUAGCAAAAGCUAUUUCUGCUGUAGUUUUCAGCCAAACAUAUGGCAGCAUUAACUCUGAAGGAAUAUUGAUUCAUUUUUCAUUUGUCACUCUUGCCCAUAGAUAAAUAUUCAUCUAUAGACAAAUAUUUUUCUUUCUAAUGAAGAGAAAGGACAUGAGUCUUGAAAAGGUGACAUUCAGUAGCCAGUCAUGUGAGGUCAGACAGGUGAGGUGUUUUGAUACUGAUGAACCAUCUACUCCUCCCCUUCUAGCUACAACAGACAGCAUCAUGCAACAUGGAUAGGAGACUUAGGUCGAAAACCUAGUCCCACUGAAGGGAAUAGCAGAACACCCAUUAACUUCAGUGGGGCCAGGAUUUCACCAAUAGGUUCUGCUAUUUACAGUUCUGCCAUUGAUAUGCUUUAUGACUUAGGUUAAAGCCCUUCUCUUCUGUGCCUCAGUUUCUUUACUUGAUGGGACUAUCAACUGCAUUCUUGUAGAUCAGCUUACCUGGUGGCAUCUUCCCAGACCUUCAAGAGUUGUCUUCCUGCUAAUCUAAAUCUCUAGGCCUCUGAACAACCAAUAUGAGGCAAAGAAGACCUUCUUUUAUUAAUUUUCA